UUUAGACUAGUGACCUUGUUUUAAAGCAUCUUUUGUUUGUCAGUAAAUCUAGAACAAUGACUACACGACCUUUGCCUAGUUCCAUUACAGAAUGCUGUGAUACCAGUGAUCAUCCACUUCAUAAGCCUCCAAAUAUUCUGAACAGGGAAUUUAUAAGAUCUAUCAAUACCAGUAAUUCUACAUUCAGAAAUUGUUUACAAAAUUUGCUUUCCAUUUACCACCCCCUCCAUAUCUUUACUUCCAUGAACACAUCGAAAGACACUGCAAAUUUUCAGAGUUCACAUUUUCCAUGAUGGCUAUCUAUUUGUAAUCCAAAACGUCCACAUAUUCCAAUACGGGAACACAGAUGCAAUAACAUAAACCUAUUUCCAUGCAAUCUCAUCAUCAAACCUGAUAAGCCGCCAAAGCAACUAAUAUCAAACACUUAGGCUUGGGGUGUGUAGUGAACAGUUUUAAUAUAAAAAUUAAACCAAACCAAUUUGGUUCAGUUUUCGGGUUAUACGGUUUGGUUCAGUUAGUAUUUUAAGAAACUUCAAUUUCUGGUUCAAUUCAGUUAUUUUCACCAAAAAACCAACAAUGAACUGAACCAACCAAUUAAGGGCGUUGUUCUAUUCUGUUUUGAGUGUUGUCCCCAAAGCCACUAGCCUAGGUUCUAAAUUCCUAAACAUAAAGAAACUCAACCCAUGUACAUUCUCCAUAAACAUUCUCAUUUGCUAUUUCAUUUCAGCAGCCUUUUCUAACCCAAAAGCACACAACUUUUUUUUUUCCACCUUUCUUCAUUUUUCAUCAUUUCUUUGCGCCAUCUACCAGCAGUGAUGGCCAUCACCCACCCAAAGGCCAAAGGCCAAAGGCCUUCCGUCCUCGCCACAACGACUCCCCAGAGACCGACAUAGUUCUUUCCUUCCGUUAUCUUUGAUUUUCCCUCAUCCUUUCCCUUCAACUUCAACCCUAAGAUUAGUCAUCACUAAUAUCCUAAGCGCUGAAUCCCUAAUUCAUGCAUUGAUCGAUUUUCUCCCUUCAAUGUUCAAAUAUCAGUUUCCCAGUUGAAGUCAAAUCACCAUUGUUCUUGGGUCCUCGCGAUGGACCUUGAACCUUGCUCAUCUCGAUGCUGCAGCUGCUGCGAUGCACAUUUGUAGCUUUUCCAAUGUUCGAAUGCCAUGGUUUGAGAUCUCUCUACAUAGGAUGUUAUGAUAAUAAGGAGAACAAGAGCUGAGAGAAUAUAGGAUAAUAUAUUGUAUAAAUUGGUAGCAUUGUAACCGAUUUCAGUAGUCAAGAAUUCAAUAAUAUAACAAUUCUUUCUCUCUCAAAUUCGCUCUCUCUCUCUCUACUUCUUUCACGUUCUUUCUCUUUUCUUCUCUGUUCUGCUUUCUUUUCCCUGUUGGUCUUCCUUUCCCUCCUUCAAUUCAGAAUUUUGGAGAGUUCAUAACACGGGACUACAGCAGCUUCAAGGUCUCUCUCUCCACAAAAAUUGUUGAAAUUUUGAGAAUUUUUUUUGAAAUAUUUUCUUAAAACCUGUAUAUUUAUCAUUUGAAUUUGUUAUAUGAUGUAAAUUUGAUAAUUUUAUGGGAUUGAUCAAGUUUGUUUUAUGAUGAAUGGCACUGAGAAUCUAGGGUUGGGACUAGGCAUUGGGUACUGGCUGGGCAGUGGUGCUAACAGCAUCAUUGGAAGUGUUUGACAUUCUGUUCAAAACUGGCAACUUUAUGGUUCGGUUCGAUUUUCAUUUUAUAGGAUUUCAGUAAUUGAGAUUUUGUAGUGCAGUUCAGAGGCAAAUUAACUGAUUGCACACCCCUAACUUAGGCCAUUCUAGGUCUAUAUGAUUUUAACUUCACCUUCCCGCCAUUGGCUGUAAACUCAAUAUACAUGCUCUCUCCCCCAUAGUUAUUAAAGGCACAAUGCACACUAAGGCGCCAAGGGUCCUAGAGCCUAAGAGCAAGGCGUGUGCCUCAAUGAGGCGAGCAGGAAAAUUUUUUUUAAAAAAUAUUCCAUUAGAAGUCAAAUAAAUGUGAAUAUUUC
rnacentral:misc_RNA from 1 species